CCACAGCAUUAUAUCUUCCCGAAAACUAGAAUCUUUAACAAGAGGAUAUAGUAAUAUAGUUCUUCUGCAAGCUACAGCUAAUUCAUGAAAAUCGGAAUUGUUUAUUUUUGUCUUUACUUUAAAAAAUUUUUUUACUAUGAUUGAUUUACAGUAUUUUGUCAAUUUCUGCUCUACAACAGUGACCCAGUCAUACAUAUAUAUACAUUCUUUUUCUCACUUUAUCCUCCAUCAUGCUCCAUCACAAGUGAUUAGACAUAUAGUUGCUUGUGCAGUAGAGCAGGAUCUCAUUGCCCAUCCACUCCAAAUGCAACAGUGUUCAUCUACUAACUUCAGACUCCCAAUCCAUCCCACUCCUCCCCCUCUCCCUCCUGGCAAACACAAGUCUGUCAUACAGGUCCAUGAUAUUUUCUGUUUUGUAGAUGGAUCAUUUUGUGCCACAUUUUAGACCCCACAUAUAAGUGGUAUUGUAUGGUUUCUGUCUUUCUCUUUCUGACUUCCUUCACUCAGUAUGAGAGUCUCUAGUACCAUCCAUUUUGCUGCAAAUGGCAUUAUUUUGUCCUUUUUAUGGCUGAGUAGUAUUUCAUUGUAUAUAUGUACCACAUCUUCCUAAUCCAUUCAUCUGUUGAUGGGCAGUUAGAUUGUUUCCAUGUCUUGGCUAUUGUAGGUAGUGCUGCAAUGAACUUAUGGAUAUAUGUAUCUUUUUCAAUGAAAUUUUUUUCUGGCUAUAAACCCAAGAGUGGGAUUCCUGGGUCAUAUGGUAGUUUUAUAUUUAGUUUGCUGAGGUAUUUCCAUACUGUUUUACAUAGUGGUUGUACCAAUUUACAUUCCCACCAACAGUGUAGGAGGGUUCCCUUUUCUCCACAUCCUCUCUAGCAUUUGUUAUUUGUUGACUUAUUAAUUUUGGCCACUCUAACUGGUAGGAGAUGGUACUUCAUUGUAGUUUUGAUUUGCAUUUCUCUAAUGAUUAGUGAUGUUGAACAUUUUUUCAUGUGCCUCUUGGGCAUCUGUAUGUCUUCUUUGGUGAAAUAUCUAUUUAGGUCAUCUGCCCAUUUUUCAAUUGGGUUGUUUGUUUUUUUGUUUUUGAGUUGUGUGUGUUUGUAUAUUUUGGAGAUUAAACCUUUGUUGCUUGAGUCAUUUGAAAAAAUGUUCUUCCAUUCUGUGGGUUAUCUUAUUGUUUUUUAAAUGAUUUCCUUUGCUAUGCAGAAGCUUUUGAGUUUAAUUAGGUCCCAUUGGUUUAUCUGAAUCUUUAUUGUCUUUAUUCUAGGAGAUGUAGCAAACAAGAUGUUACUAUGAUUUAUGUCAAAAAGCAUUCUGCCUGUAUUUUCCUCUAGGAAUUUUAUAGUGUCUGGCUUUACAUUUUAGGUCUUUAAUUCAUUUUGAGUUUAUUUUUAUGUAUGGUGUUAGACAGUGUUCUAAUUUCAUUCUCUUACAUGCAGUUGUCCAGUUUUUCCAGCACAAUUUAUUGAAAAGAUUAUCUUUCCUCCACUGUAUGGUCUUACCUCCUUUGUCAUAGAUUAAUUGACCAUAGGUGUUAGGGUUUAUUUCCGGGCUUUCUAUCCUGUCCCAUUGAUCUAUAUUUCUGUUUUUAUGCCAGUACCAUACCGUUUUGAUGACUGUAGCUUUGUAGUAGAGUCUGAAGUUAGGGAGCCUGAUUCCUCUAGUUCCAUUUUUUCUUUUCAAUAUUGCUUUGGCUAUUCGAGGUCUUUUGUGUUUCCAUACAAAUUUUAAAAUAUUUUGUUCCAGUUCUGUAAAUAAUGUCAUUGGUAAUUUAAUAGGGAUUGCACUGAAUCUGUAGAUUUCCUUAGAUAGUAUUGCCAUUUUGACUAUAUUGAUUCUUCCAAUCCAAGAGCAUUGUACAUUUUUCCAUCUAAUUGUAUCUUCUUUGAUAUCUUUCAUCAGUUUCUUAUAGUUUUCAGAGUAACUUUUAUCUCUUUAGGUAGGUUUAUUCAUAGGUAUUUUAUUCUUUUUGAUGCAAUGGCAAAUGGAAUUGUUUCCCUAAUUUUCUGAUCUUUCAUUAUUAGUAUAUAGGAAUGCAAUCCUUUUCUGUGUAUUAAUUUCGUAUCCUGUGACUUUACCAAGUUCAUUGAUGAGCUCUAAUAGUUUUCUGGUAGUGUCUUUAGGAUUUUCUAGGUAUAGAAUCAUGUCAUCUGCAAACAGUGAUAUUUUCACUUCUUUUCCAACUUUUAUUUCUUUUAUUUCUUUUUCUUCUCUGAUUGCCAUGGCUAGGACUUCCAAGACUAGUUGAAUAGCCUUGGUGAAAGAGGACAUCCUUGUCUCAUUCCCGAUCUUAGUGGAAAUGCUUUCAGUUUUUCACCAUUGAGAAUGAUGGGUUUUUCAUAAAUGGCUUUUAUUAUAUUGAGGUUGUUCCCCUCAGUGCCCACUCUGGAGUGUUUUUAUCAUGUUUAAUUUUGUCAAGAGCUUUUCCAGCAUCUUUUGAGAUAAUCAUAUGGUUUUUAUUUUUCAGUUUGUUGUGUGGUAUAUCACAUUGAUAGAUUUGUGGAUAUUGAAGAAUCCUUGCAUCCCUGGGACAAGUCCUACUUAAUCAUGGUGUCUGAUCUUUUUAAUGUAUAUUUGUUUGAAGUUUGCUAAUAUUUUGUUGAGUUUUGCAUCUGUGUUCAUCAGCAAUAUUGGCCUGUAAUUUUCUUUUUUGUGUGGUGUCUUUGUGUGGUUUUGGUAUCAGGGUAAUCAUGGCUUCAUAGAAUGAGCUUGCUAGUAUUCAUUCCUCUGCAAUUUUCUGGAAAAGUUUCAGAAGAAGAGGUAUUAACUCUUCUCUGAAUGUUUGGUAAAAGUCAACUGUGAAGCCAUCAGGUCCUGGACUUUUGCUUUUUGGAAGUUUUUAAAUCACAUUUACAAUUUCAGUACUUGUGAUUGGUCUAUUCAUAUUUUCUAUUUCUUCCUGGUUCAGUUUUGGUAGAUUGUACCUUUGUAAGAAUCUGUCCAUUUCUUCUAGGUUGUCCAUUUUAUUAGCAUGCAGUUGCUCAUAGUAGUCUCUCAUGAUCCUUUGUGUUUCUUCAGUGUCAGUUGUAACUUCCCCUUUUUCAUUUCUAAUUUUAUUAAUUUGAACCCUCUCCCUUUUUUUCUUGGUGAAUCUGGCUAACAGUUUAUCAAUUUUGUUGAUCUUUUCAGUGAAUCAACUUUUGGUUUCAUUGAUCUUCUCAAUUGUUUUCUUUGUCUCUAUGUUAUUAAUUUCUGCUCUAAUCUUUGUGGUUUCUUUCCUUCUACUAAUUUUGGGCUUUGUUCUUCUUUCACUAGAUGUUUAAGGUCUAAGGUUAGGUUGCUUAUUUGUAUUUUUUCUUCAUUCCUGAGAUAAGAUUGUACUGCUAUAAACUUCCCUCUCAGAACUGCUUUUGCUGUGUCCCAUAGGUUUUGGAUUGUUGUGUCCUCAUUGUCAUUUGUCUCUAUGUAUCUUUUAAUUUCCUCUUUGAUUUCAUCAAUGAUCCAUUGGUUGUUUAGUAGGAUAUUGUUUAGUUUCCAAUAGUUUGUGUUUUUUGCUGGUUUUUUUUUUUCAUGUGGUUUAUUUCUAGUCUCAUAGCAUCAUGAUUGGAGAAAAUGCUUGAAAUAUUUCCAAUUUUUAAAAACGUAUCGAGGCUUGAUCUGUAGUCCAAGAUCUGAUCUAUCCUGGAGAAUGUUCCAUGUGCCCUUGAAAAGAAAGUGUAUUUUGCUUUUGGGUGAAAAGUUCUGUAGAUAUUAGUUAAGCCUAUUUGGUCUAGUGUAUCAUUUAAGGCCUGUGUUUCCUUGCUGAUUUUCUGUGUGGAUGAUCUGUCCAUUGCUGUAAGUGGAGUGUUAAAGUGCCCCACUGUUAUUGUAUCACUGUCAAUUUCUCCUUUUAUGGCUGUUAGUAGUUACUGCCUUAUAUAUUUUUCUGCUCCUAUGUUGGGUGUAUAUAUAUUUAAAAUUGUUGUUUCUUCUUGUAUUGAUUGUUUGAUAAUUAUGUAAUGUCUUUCUUUGUCUCUUUUGACCUUUUUUAUUUUAAAAUCUAUUUUGGGAGUUCCCGUCUUGGUUUAGCACUAACAAUUGCGACUAGGAUCCAUGAGGAUGUGGGCAUAAUCCCUGGGCUCACUCAGUGGGUUAAAGAUCCGGUGUUUCCAUGAGCUGUGGUGUAGGUUGCAGACCUGGCUUGAAUCUAGUGUGUUGCUGUGGCUGUGGCAUAGGCUGACAGCUAUAGCUCUGAUUCGACCCCUAGCCUGGGAACUUCCAUAUGACAUGGGUACAGCC
ensembl:lncRNA